rnacentral:rRNA from 1 species
UACGUAGGGGGCGAGCGUUGUCCGGAUUUAUUGGGCGUAAAGAGCUCGUAGGCGGUUCGAUAAGUCGGACGUGAAAUCUCCACGCUCAACGUGGAGGGGCCGUUCGAUACUGUCGUGACUCGAGUCCGGUAGGGGAGUGUGGAAUUCCCGGUGUAGCGGUGAAAUGCGCAGAGAUCGGGAGGAACACCCGUAGCGAAGGCGGCACUCUGGGCCGGUACUGACGCUGAGGCGCGAAGGCGUGGGGAGCGAACGGG